UGGAAUUACCGGUUGAUAAAAAUGCAUCGAUCAAGAGCCGCGCUAUACGUAAUACGUAGUACGUAUGAUAUAAUGUGAAGCGGCGAGAUACUUGGAGAUUCCGUCAGUUUUCACGACAAACGAUCCACGGUUGCUGGAGCGGCAAGUCGACCUUUUCUCCACCUUCAACCGCCCUGAUCGCGAUUCCGCCAUCGCUUUUUACCGCUUUCCGAACGACUAUGAUUCGAUACAAGACCAGGAGGUCGAUCGUGUAACGUAACUAGUUCCACGCUGGACUGAACACAAGGACCAAGUUUUUCUGGCUUACUUGCUCUCGUUAAAUUAUCGAGUUUUCUGGCCAAAUUUAUACAUACGAGGCAACGACUUCAAACCUUUGUCGAAGAAAUGAAACGUGGCUGCCUCGUUAGGUAACCUAUUGGUGAAAUAAGGGUAAAACGAACCGUAAAAAGAACAAAAAUGGGUGAUACGGUGGCUAUAUGUAUGUAUUGUUAUAAGCUAGAUAAUGCAAAGAGAAAAAGAAAUACGGUGUUUGAAAGACAUAUGCGGGGUAAAACAGAAAAUAGGUACAUAUAGAAAACAGUGAAUAAAAUGCGCACAUAUUCAACUAGAGAGGAAAUAUUUUAUUUAUUGAUACGUACGUAUGUAUGUCGACAAUAAUUUUCACGUUUCUCCUACUGUUAAUAACGCGACUGAAUGAAAAACUGAUCAUAGUAACGAAACAGUGGCAAAGCUUAUGGAAAACGAAGCUUGGUAAAAUAGGACAUUCUUCCGAGAACUAGUAUCAUAUUGCACGGAAGGACGAACAUUUCUUUAAGUAAACUCCAGUUAAAUUAACCGCUUGGUAUGCACACAGGUGAUAUAUCAUGAAACGCUCUAGGUGUCAUUUCGGAUAAAGGAAAGAGAAAAAGAGAAAGAUUUAUUUCUAAAAAUACAACGUAUUCUGUGUUUAAAAUCUUUUAACGCGGUUAAUCCCGUCGAUAAAAAUAAAUUUCUGUUAUUUGGAGGAGCCGUACUACUCGAGAGAUAUGCAAAAUAUCUCGUCUAUAAAUGUAAGAAGAAAUGUAAGAAUCUGUAUUGAAAGUGUUAAAGUAAGUAAGUGUCAGCUCUAAACGUGAACGUUUAGAGAAACGUCUGAAGCGCGAUAGAACCACGAUCGACGAUCCUCUCUUAGCAGUACGUUGUCGAAUAACAACAAAUUAGCCGACUUUGGUAAAGUACCAACGUCCUAACCUAACCCCAAGAACAAUCUUGACUACAAACCGGUGCAAUUAUUUAGCAUACUCUUCGACAGCCUUGUAAUUAUGCAGAGCCGCGGGAAUUUCGCGACGGACCGAAACUUCCUGAUUAAUAAUAAUCGUAAUUAGCGAUGAUGAACUUGCGACCCAGUUAUACUCGGCUUCCUGUCACGCCUAAGACUUUGCAUUAUUUUUCGAAUUGGACGAUCCAUUGGUGCGAUUCGCGCGAUUUUCUCUUGCGUUUGACGUGGAACGUCAAGAUCGAUAGGACUUUUAGCUUGGAAACAAUAAGAGGAGUUAAUGCUGACCAGCCAACAAAAAAUAAAAUCAUAAUUUUUAAAUAAAAAUUUAUCAUCCUGGA